GUGCAUGUAUGGGGGUGUGCAUGUAUGGGUGUGCAUGGGUGUGCAUGUAUGGGGGUGUGCAUACGCAUGGGUGUGCAUGGGUGUGCAUGCAUGGGUGUCUGCAUGCACGGGUGUGUGCAUGCAUGGGUGUCUGCGUGUGCAUGGGUGCACGUGCGUGCAUGUAUGGGGGUGUGCAUGUAUGGGUGUGCAUGUAUGGGUGUCUGCAUACACAUGGGUGUGCAUGGGUGUGCAUGCAUGGGUGUGCAUGUAUGGGGGUGUGCAUGUAUGGGUGUGCAUGUAUGGGUGUGCAUGUAUGGGGGUGUGCAUACACAUGGGUGUGCAUGGGUAUGCAUGCAUGGGUGUGCAUGUAUGGGGGUGUGCAUACACAUGGGUGUGCAUGUAUGGGUGUGCAUGUAUGGGUGUGCAUGUAUGGGGGUGUGCAUACACAUGGGUGUGCAUGUAUGGGGGUGUGCAUACACAUGGGUGUGCAUGGGUGUGCAUGCAUGGGUGUCUGCAUGCACGGGUGUGUGCGUGCAUGGGUGUCUGCGUGUGUAUGGGUGCGCGUGUGUGCAUGCAUGGGUGUGCAUGCAUGGGGGUGUGCAUGUAGGGGCGUGUGCAUACAUGUUGGUGUGCAUGGGUGUGCAUUCAUGGGGGUGUGCAUGUAUGGGCGUGUGCAUACACGUGGGUGUGCAGGGGUGUGCAUGCAUGGGGGUGUGCAUGUAUGGGGGUGUGCGUGUGUGCAGUGUGUGUGCAUGGGUGUGCAUGGGUGCAUGUAUGUGGGUGUGCAUGUGUGGGUGUGCGCGUGUGCAUGGGUGUGCGGAUGUGUGCAGAGUGUGUGUGCAUGGUUGUGUGCAUGCAUGGGGGUGUGCAUGUGCAUGGGUACAUGUAUGUGCAUGCAUGGGGGUGUGCAUGUGUGUGCACUGGGUGUGUGCACACGCGUGUAUGCACACAGGUGUGCAUGAGUGUGUGCACUGGGGGUGCGUGUGUGGGUGCAUCUGCGUGCAAUGGGGGUGUGCAUGGGGGUGUGCAUGUGUGCGCACUGGGGCAUGCAUGUGUGUGUGCACUGGGGAGUGUGCGUGGGGGUGUGCAUGA
rnacentral:lncRNA from 1 species